UUAAAGCGAAUAAGGGCGCAUGGUGAAUGCCUAGGCUUUAGGAGGCGAGGAAGGACGUGGUAAGCUGCGAAAAGCUACGGGGAGCCGCAAACAGGCGUUAAAUCCGUAGAUAUCCGAAUGGGACAACCCAAUACGUUGAAGACGUAUUAUCCGAAAGGAGGCCAACGC
rnacentral:rRNA from 1 species